rnacentral:rRNA from 1 species
AGAACGAACGCUGGCGGCGCGCUUAACACAUGCAAGUCGGACGCUCCCUUCGGGGGGAGUGGCGGACGGGUGAGUAACGCGUGGGAACCUGCCCUGGAGUUCGGGACAACCGCGGGAAACUGCGGCUAACACCGGAUACGCCCUUAGGGGGGAAAGUUUACGCUCUGGGAUGGGCCCGCGUCGGAUUAGCUUGUUGGUGGGGUAACGCCUACCAAGGCAUCGAUCCGUAGCUGGUCUGAGAGGAUGGCCAGCCCACACUGGGACUGAGACACGGCCCAGACUCCUACGGGAGGCAGCAGUGGGGAAUCUUGGACAAUGGGCGCAAGCCUGAUCCAGCGACGCCGCGUGGGUGACGAAGGCCUUCGGGUUGUAAAGCCCUUUUACUCGGGGGAGAUGAUGACGUACCCGAGGAAUAAGCACCGGCUAACUCCGUGCCAGCAGCCGC